rnacentral:lncRNA from 1 species
AGGGAGCCGGCCGCGCGGGAUCCCAAGCUAACGCCAGGGCACUUGAUCUGGCAUAAAGAACUGGGGACGUUUGUAGGAACAAAGUCCGUCCCCAUUCCUCAUGGGACUCGCCUCCUGCAGGCCGUGUGAUGAGGAAAUGGUGGAGAGGACAAGUUCUGUACUCUCGGAACCAGUGGACCUGCAGUUUGAGGAGUUACAGUGUGGGAAAACGGACUUUCUAAACAGCUGAAUGAUGAUGUCAGGGACUAGGACCUUAGGAAUAAAUAGCCUGGCUGAUGAAGAAUUGAGGCACAGAAGCCAUGUGGACCCUUCCCACAGUCGCAGAGAGCUGAAGCUACUCGUUCGGUAUCAAAGUGGUGCAGUUUUCAGCAGCAAAUAGUUAUUCUGUGCGUGCACGCAUGCACACAUGCCCAAGUGGCAACUGGGGUUUCGGUCACUGAAAGAGCUCCAGGUCAUGUUUUUCAGUCAGCCGGAGACAGAGGUGUGUCUAUGGGCUGGACCUUGGCUAUCACCUGAUGGGAAUGGGAUGGUGGCCAGUAGACUCGAUUUCUCCCCUUGUAUCCUGACUGCUCUUUGGCUCUACUGGGGUGGCUGACUGUCACAUUUUCCCUGAAUAUGGAGUCAAAGCAAGCAACACUUUAUAGAGUGCUAACUUUCAUAUCAACUCAGGAAACGGAAGAGGUGAUAUCACAAUUGC